rnacentral:rRNA from 1 species
AUACGGAGGGUGCGAGCGUUAAUCGGAAUUACUGGGCGUAAAGGGUCCGUAGGCGGUCUGCUUAGUCUGAUGUGAAAGCCCCGGGCUUAACCUGGGAAUGGCAUUGGAUACUGGCGGACUAGAGUCUGGUAGAGGGUGGUGGAAUUCCCGGUGUAGCGGUGAAAGGCGUAGAUAUCGGGAGGAACACCAGUGGCGAAGGCGGCCACCUGGACCAAGACUGACGCUGAGGGACGAAAGCGUGGGGAGCAAACAGGAUUAGAUACCCUAGUAGUCC